rnacentral:rRNA from 1 species
GCUCCUACGGGGCGCAGCAGUGGGGAAUAUUGGGCAAUGGGCGCAAGCCUGACCCAGCAACGCCGCGUGAAGGAAGAAGGCUUUCGGGUUGUAAACUUCUUUUCUUGGGGACGAAGAAAGUGACGGUACCCAAGGAAUAAGCCACGGCUAACGACGUGCCAGCAGCCGCGGUAAUACGUAGGGGGCAAGCGUUAUCCGGAUUUAUUGGGUGUAAAGGGCGUGUAGGCGGGAU